rnacentral:misc_RNA from 1 species
CCGUUUAUGCUAUUAUUAAACGCAAGUUAAUUUUGGGGUUCCAGUGGGAAUUCGCGACCUUGAUCUCUUGGGAUUUAUUCUAGGAUCGAACAGGAAGUGUUUUCUCACGCCGGAAUGCCAGCUGUUGGGUGUUUGUCCUCGCGGAUGUCAGUCGUCGUCAAAGUUAGAAACCUACUUGUAGUGCUUCUUUCAUUGCUCGGUGCAAUCUGUGUGGUCACCUGAAAUUUUUAGCCUCGUUUCUUUGUCAUAAGUAUAUUCUUAAUUAUAAACGUUAAAGACCCCCUCGGUCGAUGCGAUCUAGUACCCUUUGUUGGAAAAGAUUGAGUCCUUCUUUGAGGUUGAUUCUCUUUUCUAACGCCUAAUGGGUAUUGUUUUCUGCGUCCUGGGGAUUGUAUGGGUUUUUUGUGCGGGGAAUAGAACGAUAGAGCGACGUUUAGGACGACGGAUUUCUUUCUUCGGAAAGGGAAAAAACCGGCC